GACGAACGCUGGCGGCGUGCCUAAUACAUGCAAGUUGAGCGCUGAAAGUUGGUACUUGUACCAACUGGAUGAGCAGCGAACGGGUGAGUAACGCGUGGGGAAUCUGCCUUUGAGCGGGGGACAACAUUUGGAAACGAAUGCUAAUACCGCAUAAAAACUUUAAACACAAGUUUUAAGUUUGAAAGAUGCAAUUGCAUCACUCAAAGAUGAUCCCGCGUUGUAUUAGCUAGUUGGUGAGGUAAAGGCUCACCAAGGCGAUGAUACAUAGCCGACCUGAGAGGGUGAUCGGCCACAUUGGGACUGAGACACGGCCCAAACUCCUACGGGAGGCAGCAGUAGGGAAUCUUCGGCAAUGGACGAAAGUCUGACCGAGCAACGCCGCGUGAGUGAAGAAGGUUUUCGGAUCGUAAAACUCUGUUGGUAGAGAAGAACGUUGGUGAGAGUGGAAAGCUCAUCAAGUGACGGUAACUACCCAGAAAGGGACGGCUAACUACGUG
rnacentral:rRNA from 1 species